rnacentral:rRNA from 1 species
AUACGUAGGUGGCAAGCGUUGUCCGGAAUUAUUGGGCGUAAAGCGCGCGCAGGUGGUUCCUUAAGUCUGAUGUGAAAGCCCCCGGCUCAACCGGGGAGGGUCAUUGGAAACUGGGGAACUUGAGUGCAGAAGAGGAUAGUGGAAUUCAAAGUGUAGCGGUGAAAUGCGUAGAGAUUUGGAGGAACACCAGUGGCGAAGGCGACUGUCUGGUCUGUGACUGACACUGAGGCGCGAAAGCGUGGGGAGCAAACAGGAUUAGAUACCCUGGUAGUCCACGCCGUAAACGAUGAGUGCUAAGUGUUGGGGGGUUUCCGCCCCUCAGUGCUGCAGCUAACGCAUUAAGCACUCCGCCUGGGGAGUACGGUCGCAAGACUGAAACUCAAAUGAAUUGACGGGG